AACUCCGGGACGGACAAUAUUCUCUUACACCGGAGCAAAAUGGCGACUGUCAUUCACAACCCCCUCAAAGCACUUGGGGACCAGUUCUACAGGGAAGCCAUCGAGCACUGUCGCAGCUACAACUCGAGGCUCUGUGCUGAACGCAGUGUCCGCCUGCCCUUUCUCGAUUCCCAGACUGGGGUGGCCCAGAACAACUGCUACAUCUGGAUGGAGAAAAGGCACCGGGGCCCAGGCCUGGCCCCCGGGCAACUGUAUACAUAUCCCGCUCGCUGUUGGCGUAAGAAGAGACGACUGCUCCCGCCUGAAGAUCCCAAGAUGAGGCUGCUCGAAAUCAAACCCGAAAAGGAGGUGCCGCUGAAGAAAGAUGGGUUCACGUCGGAAAGUACCACCCUAGAAGCCUUGCUCCGUGGUGAAGGGGUCGAGAAGAAAGUGGACGCGAAAGAGGAGGAUAGCAUCCAGGAGAUACAGAGGGUUUUGGAAAACGAUGAAAACAUCGAAGAAGGGAACGAAGAGGAGGAUUUAGAAGAAGACACGCCCAAACGAAAGAACAGGACUAGAGGACGAGCCCGAGGUUCCACAGGCGGGAGAAGAAGGAAUGACCCAGCUUCUCAAGAAGACCACGACAAACCUUAUGUCUGCGACAUCUGCGGCAAGCGCUACAAGAACCGGCCCGGGCUCAGCUACCAUUACGCGCACACUCAUUUAGCCAGCGAAGAGGGGGACGAGGCCCAAGAGGAGGAUAACCAGUCUCCACCCGCCCAUCGAAAUGAAAACCACAGGCCCCAGAAAGGACCAGACGGAAGUGUAAUUCCCAAUAACUACUGUGAUUUCUGCCUGGGAGGUUCCAACAUGAACAAAAAAAGUGGCCGGCCAGAAGAGUUGGUUUCCUGUGCAGACUGUGGACGAUCUGCUCAUUUGGGAGGAGAAGGCAGGAAGGAGAAGGAGGCAGCGGCCGCAGAGCGCAGUUCGGAGGACUUGUUCGGUUCCACGUCGGAAAGUGACACCUCGACUUUCCACGGCUUUGACGAGGACGAUUUGGAAGAGCCUCGAUCCGGCCGAAGACCCCACGGUGGCAGAGCCUCGCCCACGGCAGAUAAAAAAGGCGCCUGCUAAACUCUCGAAACACACUCUGGCCACGGCCCCUGACCCCCCGCCUCCCCCCAUGCUCCGGUCAUUGUUCUGGUUCCAAUUUUUAAAAAAUAUAUAUAAAAGAAAAGAGAAAAAAAAAGUUGUUCCCUCCCACCCUUCCUUGUCCGUCUCCUUCCCCUCCCCACUUCUCCCUCCCCCUUGUUUUGGGUAUGUACACUGAAAGCACAAACUUCUCAAACUGCAACAAACAAAACAGACUGAUUCCCCUAAAAGCGAUCGAACAACUUCAGGAGUUCCAGGCCUCUGGAUGACAUUUCUUUUCCUGGAAACCUGGAGUUACUUUGGUCGUCCUUUUAAUCUCGUUCCGAAAAAAAGAGAUUCUUUUUUACUAUGAGCAGAGUUGAUUUUCCUCACAUUCAUCAGCCAAGCCAUAAGGCAGGAACGAUGAGGUUGGAGACGAAGAUCCAACUGAAAUUGAGUUUGGAACGUACGUUGUUAUUAUUUAUUUAGUUUAGGUAUAGAAAAAUAGACUUCUUUUUUUUUUAAUGGGAAAGUGACAAAAAAAAAGGUGUCUAUGUGCUAUCGUCCUUGUGUAGAAAAAGCCACUGGGAGGAAGACUGUCUCGUCUGAGAUGGAAAACUGGUCACGAUGACUUCUGCUAUGUGAGAUUUUUGCACUUACUGGACUAUGUGGAGUUGUGACUCCCCACCUCAUCCAACUGCCCUCUGACCUCUUCCUCCUUCGUCCAGGGCCCAUCCCUGCUGCCCACCUCCCAGCUGGUUGAGGGCAUCAGCAGGGCAUGAAGAUCCACACCUCCCGGCCUCCACCCUGGGGGCCUCUGGGACCUUACCGCCUCUCACCGUCUCCUCAGCCCCCGCUGCCGCUUCUGUCAUGCCCUCUCUCUCUCACACCUUUCACCUCAGGAAGAGCCAUUUCCAAGAACAGGGAUGGAAUACCAAUGGAGGGUCAUAGACUGCACAAUGACCAAACAGCUGGAGAUCCUGAAUCACAGAAGAAACACAAAGGAAAAUACCUCACUUCUAUAUUUUCCCCCCUCACCCUUCCCUCUCAUUUACAAAAAAAAAAUGUAUAUGAAAAGCCUUUAGAUUGUCAGGUCGCUCGUAUUUCUUCUUUUCCCUUUUUUUUCCUUAUAGUGCCCGCCAGGCACUUUGUUUUAUGUUUCCAGUAGCACCUCCUGAAAUAAACCAAAGCAAUAGUAGCUCAAGUCACCCCCCCCACACUGUCCCCUGACCUCGGGGUGAUGGAGAAGAACAUCCAACUGUCCGAUUGGCUGUCCCAAGAAUGAGCAGAUGAGCGGCCAUGUUUGAAAGUCAAAUCUGCCUCUGGGACCCCAGCAACCUUCAAGCAAGCCAUUUCUGAAGAAGGUGAAGAGAAGCCAAGAUUAUUUGAACCUCCUCCUCCUCCUCCUUCUCCUCCUCUUGCUCCUCUUCCCUUUGCUGGCCCUUUUCCAUAGCUGUGUUUCAGCAACACAGGAGCCUGGACCAUGGAAAAGAUUCCAGCACUGCUCAGAGAAAUCUUGAGAAGCCCUAAGUUUGUGCAAUAAGAAGAAAACUUUUUUCCUUUUUUUUUUACCCUUGGUUUCAGUUUCUUUUAAGUGUCUGUAAAAAAAAAAAAAAAGAAAGCACCCAGGUCACACUGGAAAUGCUCUUCAGUAGAAAUUACCGAACACAGACAAACUGAAAAAAAAAGACUUUAUUUUAUUUAUUUCAAUAUUUAAAACAAAAGUGCUGACAAUGCACCGUGUUUUCGUUUGUCGUACAUUCUACUUCAAAAGUUAAAGGCGAUUUUGUGAAGAAGUGAAAUCAGAAAAGCACUUAAUGUAAAAUAAAGACUGAAUAUUAACUUUAAGAAAAAACCCCCACAUUUUUUAUUACGAAAAUAAAGAUCAACUCUGCUCUCAUGCUUUUAAAGAAGCCA